GACGUAGGGCGCGAGCGUUGUCCGGAUUUAUUGGGCGUAAAGAGCUCGUAGGCGGUUUGUUGCGUCGGCUGUGAAAUCCCGAGGCUCAACCUCGGGUCUGCAGUCGAUACGAGCAAACUAGAGUGUUGCAGGGGAGACUGGGAUUCCUGGUGUAGCGGUGAAAUGCGCAGAUAUCAGGAGGAACACCGGUGGCGAAGGCGGCCCACUGGAUCGGUACUGACGCUGAGGUGCGAAAGCGUGGGGAGCAAACGGG
rnacentral:rRNA from 1 species